rnacentral:rRNA from 1 species
UGAAUACGAGAUGCUACGGCAUCGAAGCAGUCUAUGUCAUACUUCCAAGAAAAGCUUGCACUGUCAUAAACAAAUAAUGCCUGUACCAUAACCAACACAGGUGGGUAGGUAGAGUAUACUAAGGGGCGCGAGAUAACUCUCUCUAAGGAACUCGGCAAAAUGACUCCGUAACUUCGGGAGAAGGAGUGCCUUAUUUUAUAAGGUUGCAAUAACAAGAUCCAAGCAACUGUUUACCAAAAACACAGGUCUCCGCUAAGUCGUAAGACGAUGUAUGGGGGCUGACGCCUGCCCAGUGCCAGAAGGUUAAAGAAGUUGGUUAGCAUUAGCGAAGCUGAUAACUGAAGCCCUGGUGAACGGCGGCCGUAACAAUAACGGUCCUAAGGUAGCGAAAUUCCUUGUCGGGUAAGUUCCGACCCGCACGAAAGGCGUAAUGAUUUGGAUACUGUCUCGGAGAGGGGCUCGGUGAAAUAGACUUGUCUGUGAAGAUGCGGACUACCUGCACCAGGACAGAAAGACCCUAUGAAGCUUUACUGUAACUUGAGAUUGAAAUUGGACUUUAUUUGCGCAGUAUAGGUGGGAGACGUUGAAAAUAUUCUUGCGGGAAUAUUGGAGUCAUCAGUGAGAUACCACUCUUAUAAUGUUAGAUUUCUAACUUUGUAUCAUUAUCUGGUCAAAGAACAGUCUCAGGCGGGCAGUUUGACUGGGGCGGUCGCCUCCCAAACGGUAACAGAGGCGCACAAAGGUCUCCUCUGAACGUGUAGAAAUCGUAUCUAGAGUGUAAAGGCAUAAGGAAGCUUGACUGUGAGACCUACAAGUCGAGCAGGGACGAAAGUCGGUCUUAGUGAUCUGACGGUGCUGAGUGGAAAGGCCGUCACUCAACGGAUAAAAGUUACUCUAGGAUAACAGGCUGAUCUCCCCCAAGAGUUCACAUCGACGGGGAGGUUUGGCACCUCGAUGUCGGCUCAUCGCAUCCUGGGGCGGUAGUACGUCCCAAGGGUUGGGCUGUUCGCCCAUGAAAGCGGUACGCGAGCUGGGUUCAGAACGUCGUGAGACAGUUCGGUCCAUAUCCGGUGUAGGCGUUAGAAUAUUGAGAGGAGCCUUCUUUAGUACGAGAGGACCGAGAAGGACAUACCUCUGGUGUACCAGUUAUCGUGCCAACAGUAAACGCUGGGUAGCUAUGUAUGGAGAGGAUAACCGCUGAAAGCAUCUAAGUGGGAAGCCCACCUCAAGAUAAGUAUUCU